rnacentral:lncRNA from 1 species
CUAGGGUUUGAUGCCAGGACCUGUAAUAGCGGGGCGCAACAGCCGCUUUUAUGAAAAGCAGGGGUAUACCUGCUUUCUGUAAAAGCAGCUUUUAGACAAAAAGCGCUGUUAGAAAAAGCUGGUUUGGUUGUUACCAAACAACCUUGUAGCAGCUUAUUGACAAAAAGCUGCUGUUGUGGUUGUCAACCACAACCCCAAACAGGCACUUA